CCUAACCUGAAAGUACCCGGUCAGGAAUAGUUGGAGUCUGGCCCUUUAACACUCUGGCCGGAAGUGUAGGUGACGUCACAGAGCCCCUUCUGAGGUGGGCGGCAUUUCCAGUAGGCCGCCAUUGUCUGAGCGGGAGGAGUCAGGCCGGAGUGGAGAGGGGGUCCUGGCGAGGUCGCUCCAUAGCCGGUGGUGGUGGCCCCACGUGAGUGACCCCAGCGUGCUCCCGAGAAAUAUAAUUUCUGCUUCACCUGUCAAAUUUCAUAGCAUUCCCUCAUUUUCAAUUUCUCCAGGACCAGAGACUCCCCCUUCUGUUCUGGUGAUUCUGUGGAGCCACCUGCCGAUCCUUGGGAAUUACAGAAGCUUCAGACAAUGGUGACACACCAUCUGACACACUGUUCCCAGGUGGGAGGAGAAUGAUGUGGUGACAUGAUGCAGUGACAGGCAGGAAUUUCUGCUCUCUCACAUCAAGUUGCAAAGCCUCCGCACUUCUCAUCUCGCCCUGGUAAG